rnacentral:rRNA from 1 species
UAUAAAUGGUAUACAAUGAAACUGCGAAUGGCUCAUUAAAACAGUUAUAGUUUAUUUGAUAAUCAAACUUACAUGGAUAACCGUGGUAAUUCUAGAGCUAAUACAUGCUGUUCUGCCCGACUCACGAAGGGCCGUAUUUAUUAGAUAUCAGCCAAUAAGCAUCCGCUAUUGUGGUGACUCAUAGUAACUUAAUCGGAUCGCAUGGGCUCGUCCCGCGACAAACCACUCAAGUUUCUGCCCCAUCAUGCUUUCGAUGGUAGUGUAUUGGACUACCAUGGCUUUCACGGGUAACGGAGGAUUAGGGUUCGAUUCCGGAGAGGGAGCCUGAGAAACGGCUACCACUUCCACGGAAGGCAGCAGGCGCGUAAAUUACCCAAUCCUGAUUCAGGGAGGUAGUGACAAGAAAUAAUGGGUCGGGGUUUUUCCCCGGGACUGCAAUGAGACGAAUUUAGACCCCUUAUCGAGGACCAAUUGGAGGGCAAGUCUGGUGCCAGCAGCCGCGGUAAUUCCAGCUCCAAUAGCGUAUAUUAAAGUUGUUGCAGUUAAAAAGCUCGUAGUUGGAUUUCUGGUAGAAGGUUAGAGCGCACCUGCGUGAUGCUCGCGUCUUCUGCCAUCCUUCUGUUAACCUUUCUUGACAUUGACUUGUCGGUUUGGGGCUCAGAUAUUUUACCUUGAGAAAAUUAGAGUGUUUCAGGCAGGCUUGUGCCCGGAUACAUUAGCAUGGAAUAAUAGAACAGGACUUUAGCCUCUUCUGUUGGUCUGAGGGGUUGAAGUAAUGAUU